rnacentral:rRNA from 1 species
UACAGAGGUCUCAAGCGUUGUUCGGAUUCAUUGGGCGUAAAGGGUGCGUAGGCGGCGCGGUAAGUCGGGUGUGAAAUCUCGGGGCUUAACUCCGAAACUGCAUUCGAUACUGCCGUGCUUGAGGACUGGAGAGGAGACUGGAAUUUACGGUGUAGCGGUGAAAUGCGUAGAUAUCGUAAGGAAGACCAGUGGCGAAGGCGGGUCUCCGUGGACGAGUUCCUGACGCUGGAGG